rnacentral:rRNA from 1 species
CCUAACACAUGCAAGUCGAACGGUAACAGGAAGAAGCUUGCUUCUUUGCUGACGAGUGGCGGACGGGUGAGUAAUGUCUGGGAAACUGCCUGAUGGAGGGGGAUAACUACUGGAAACGGUAGCUAAUACCGCAUAACGUCGCAAGACCAAAGAGGGGGACCUUCGGGCCUCUUGCCAUCGGAUGUGCCCAGAUGGGAUUAGCUAGUAGGUGGGGUAACGGCUCACCUAGGCGACGAUCCCUAGCUGGUCUGAGAGGAUGACCAGCCACACUGGAACUGAGACACGGUCCAGACUCCUACGGGAGGCAGCAGUGGGGAAUAUUGCACAAUGGGCGCAAGCCUGAUGCAGCCAUGCCGCGUGUAUGAAGAAGGCCUUCGGGUUGUAAAGAAGGUUCAGCGGGGAGGAAGGGAGUAAAGUUAAUACCUUUGCUCAUUGACGUUACCCGCAGAAGAAGCACCGGCUAACUCCGUGCCAGCAGCCGCGGUAAUACGGAGGGUGCAAGCGUUAAUCGGAAUUACUGGGCGUAAAGCGCACGCAGGCGGUUUGUUAAGUCAGAUGUGAAAUCCCCGGGCUCAACCUGGGAACUGCAUCUGAUACUGGCAAGCUUG